UACAGAGGGUGCGAGCGUUAAUCGGAAUUACUGGGCGUAAAGCGUGCGUAGACGGUUACUUAAGUCGGAUGUGAAAGCCCCGGGCUCAACCUGGGAAUUGCAUUCGAGACUGAAUAGCUAGGGUGCGGUAGAGGGAAGCGGAAUUUCCGGUGUAGCGGUGAAAUGCGUAGAUAUCGGAAGGAACAUCAGUGGCGAAAGCGGCUUCCUGGACCAGCACCGACGUUCAGGCACGAAAGCGUGGGGAGCAAACAGG
rnacentral:rRNA from 1 species